rnacentral:rRNA from 1 species
AUGCGUCCGGGCGGGCCGCCGAACGCGCGGCCGGGGCUGCAGCAGCAGCAGCCGGGCACGCCGGGCCGCGCGCGGCGCCGGCCGGAUCUCACGCUCCCGCUCCCGCAGCGCGACCUGACGUCGCUGGCCGUGCCGCUUCCGCUGCCCCCGCCCCCGUCCUCGGCUCCGUCGUCCACGUCCUCGUCCGGGUCGGGCGGCGCGUCGUCCAUGCCCAUGCCCAUGUCCAUGACCCCGCCCAACUCGGCCGGCUCCACGCCGCCCGCGCCCCCGCCGCUCGGCGAGCUGGAGCGCGUGCGGCGCGUCGGGAGCGGCGCCGGCGGGACGGUGUGGCUGGUGCGGCACGCGCCCACGGGCCGCGCCUACGCGCUCAAGGUGCUCUACGGGCACCACGACGAGGCGGUCCGGCGGCAGAUCACGCGCGAGAUCGCCAUCCUGCGCACGGCCGAGCACCCGUCCAUCGUGCGCUGCCACGGCAUGUACGAGCAGGCCGGCGAGCUGCAGAUCCUGCUCGAGUACAUGGACGGCGGGUCCCUGGACGGCCGCCGCAUCGCGUCCGAGUCGUUCCUCGCCGACGUGGCGCGGCAGGUGCUGUCGGGGAUCGCCUACCUCCACCGGCGCCACAUCGUGCACCGCGACAUCAAGCCGUCCAACCUGCUCAUCGACUGCGCGCGGCGCGUGAAGAUCGCCGACUUCGGGGUGGGGCGCAUCCUGAACCAGACCAUGGACCCCUGCAACUCCUCCGUGGGCACCAUCGCGUACAUGAGCCCCGAGCGCAUCAACACCGACCUCAACGACGGCAACUACAACGGCUACGCCGGCGACAUCUGGAGCUUCGGCCUCAGCAUCCUCGAGUUCUACCUGGGCCGCUUCCCGCUCGGGGAGAACCUGGGGAAGCAGGGCGACUGGGCGGCGCUCAUGUGCGCCAUCUGCUACUCCGAGUCGCCGGCGGCGCCGCCCACCGCGUCCCCGGAGCUGCGGAGCUUCAUCAGCUGCUGCCUCCAGAAGAACCCGGCGAAGCGGCCGUCGGCGGCGCAGCUGCUGCAGCACCGGUUCAUCGCCUCGCCGCCGCAGCAGCAGCCGCAGGCCCUCGCCGCCCCGCCGUGCUGA